rnacentral:rRNA from 1 species
CAUACGCGUGUGUGAAGAAGCUUAGGUUGUAAAGCACUUUCAAUUGGAAGGAAAAACUCAUGGCCAAUACCCGUGAGCUUGACAUUACCUUUAGAAGAAGCACCGGCUAACUCCGUGCCAGCAGCCGCGGUAAUACGGAGGGUGCAAGCGUUAAUCGGAAUUACUGGGCGUAAAGCGUGCGUAGGCGGCUCGCUAAGUCAGAUGUGAAAGCCCCGGGCUCAACCUGGGAACGGCAUUUGAAACUGGCAAGCUAGAGUUUAGGAGAGGAGAGUGGAAUUUCAAGGUGUAGCAGGUGAAAUGCGUAGGAGAUCUGAACGGAACACCAGUCGGCGAACGGCGACUCUCUUGGCCUAAAACUGACGCAUGAGGUACGAAAGCGUGGGUAGCAAACAGGAUUAGAUACCCUGGUAGUCCACGCCGUAAACGAUGUCAACUAGCCGU